UUAAAUUGAAGAGUUUGAUCAUGGCUCAGAUUGAACGCUGGCGGCAGGCCUAACACAUGCAAGUCGAACGGUAACAGGAAGAAGCUUGCUUCUUUGCUGACGAGUGGCGGACGGGUGAGUAAUGUCUGGGAAACUGCCUGAUGGAGGGGGAUAACUACUGGAAACGGUAGCUAAUACCGCAUAACGUCGCAAGACCAAAGAGGGGGACCUUCGGGCCUCUUGCCAUCGGAUGUGCCCAGAUGGGAUUAGCUAGUAGGUGGGGUAACGGCUCACCUAGGCGACGAUCCCUAGCUGGUCUGAGAGGAUGACCAGCCACACUGGAACUGAGACACGGUCCA
rnacentral:rRNA from 2 species